GUUUAAUGUUCACUUUUACAAGGAAAAGGAACUUCUAAUGUGCCUAGAAAAAAUAAUAUUGCCAGUAAAAAUCAUAUGUUAAUAAUUAUUAUUUGAGAGAUUGAUAGUAUGUAUCAUUUUCAAGCUCCAAACUUAGGCACUUUAGCAGUUGAGAUCUGUGCAAGGAAAUGCUCUGCAACAAGUCGUCGCUGAAUUUUUCCAGUUGCAGUUUUUGGUAGAGAAUCAGUCAUGAACACCCUUUUGGGAACCUUAAAGGCUGCUAGAUUUUUCUUGC
rnacentral:misc_RNA from 1 species